rnacentral:rRNA from 1 species
AGUGAACGCUGGCGGUAGGCCUAACACAUGCAAGUCGAACGGCAGCACAGUAAGAGCUUGCUCUUACGGGUGGCGAGUGGCGGACGGGUGAGGAAUACAUCGGAAUCUACUUUUUCGUGGGGGAUAACGUAGGGAAACUUACGCUAAUACCGCAUACGACCUACGGGUGAAAGCAGGGGAUCUUCGGACCUUGCGCGAUUGAAUGAGCCGAUGUCGGAUUAGCUAGUUGGCGGGGUAAAGGCCCACCAAGGCGACGAUCCGUAGCUGGUCUGAGAGGAUGAUCAGCCACACUGGAACUGAGACACGGUCCAGACUCCUACGGGAAGCAGCAGUGGGGAAUAUUGGACAAUGGGCGCAAGCCUGAUCCGGCCAUACCGCGUGGGUGAAGAAGGCCUUCGGGUUGUAAAGCCCUUUUGUUGGGAAAGAAAAGCAGCAGGUUAAUACCCCGCUGUUCUGACGGUACCCAAAGAAUAAGCACCGGCUAACUUCGUG